UACGGAGGGUGCGAGCGUCGUCCGGAUUUAUUGGGUUUAAAGGGUGCGUAGGUUGCUGUUUAAGUCAGUGGUGAAAGUUUGCAGCUUAACUGUAGAAUUGCCAUUGAUACUGGAUAGCUUGAGUACUGAUGAGGUAGGCGGAAUUGAUAGUGUAGCGGUGAAAUGCAUAGAUAUUAUCAAGAACACCGAUUGCGAAGGCAGCUUACUAAGGAGUUACUGACACUGAGGCACGAAAGCGUGGGGAUCAAACAGG
rnacentral:rRNA from 1 species